CCUACGGGGCGCAGCAGUGGGGAAUAUUGGACAAUGGGCGAAAGCCUGAUCCAGCCAUGCCGCGUGUGUGAAGAAGGCCUUCGGGUUGUAAAGCACUUUCAGUGGGGAAGAAAGCCUUGGGGCUAAUACCCUCGAGGAAGGACAUCACCCACAGAAGAAGCACCGGCUAACUCCGUGCCAGCAGCCGCGGUAAUACGGAGGGUGCGAGCGUUAAUCGGAAUUACUGGGCGUAAAGCGCGCGUAGGCGGUCUGAUAAGCCGGUUGUGAAAGCCCCGGGCUCAACCUGGGAACGGCAUCCGGAACUGUCAGGCUAGAGUGCAGGAGAGGAAGGUAGAAUUCCCGGGGUAGCGGUGAAAUGCGUAGAGACCGGGAGGAAUACCAGUGGCGAAGGCGGCCUUCUGGACUGACACUGACGCUGAGGUGCGAAAGCGUGGGUAGCAAACAGGAUUAGAUACCCGAGUAGUC
rnacentral:rRNA from 1 species